ACCCAAAUCUUCUUCUCAACACACGUUGCCCUCAGAUGGGUGCUAUCAGCUUCUGCUAUGGAGAGGCACCUGUGUCCUAGCAGACCUCCUGACCAACACAGCCCACCCCACGUAAGGGACGACGGGCAGGAAGCACCUUGUGAGGUUCUCUGCUGACAAAGAAGUCAGGAUAGGAUGGUGCUAGAAGCUCACAGAUAGCUUGAUCUCAGUACAAGAAUGGAACAGAAAUUCUGGAUACUUCUAAGGGGGCUUGGUGUCCAGGAUGAGCUGGCAUCUGCCUGCUGCUAGCACAGCAGGAGAGAGGGCAGAAGCAAUGCACCACUGCGGCACGCAGAAAUGUAGCUCUGCAAGAUCAGCAGCAUGGAGAAGGCCCUUACAAUUCCAUUUCAAGUGCAAAUUCCUGCACAAAUAGGAGUAUAGCUCAAGAGAUUUUUGUCCCUGCUGACUGCUGAGGCUGUAGUCUACCUGGAUGUGUUCGAGCCCUGGCUCUAAAAAUGCCCCCCCUGCUCUUGCAGUACGUGUUCAAAGCUCUUGGCAGUUACCUAGAGCAGCAUGUUUCUUAAAUCAGGUAAUUUUCUAUGAAUCAAGGGGAAAUGGACACUUAAGUGUUCAGAGACCACAGUUACCAUUAUAUGGGAAGAUCCAAUGCCCCGUGGAUCAAUUAUGAUCUGAGCAUUUAAUGGUUAUGGGGUUUUGACUUUCCUUUACUAGCUCCUACCACAAGAAUCAUAAAUGGGGAAGCCUGCUUGCAGCAGGUUUUCAAUCUGGCUGAAAGAAAAUGGCUCAAAGAGAAACAAAACUUUGACCUCAGAUCAGAGUAGGUUUAAAAACCUUAGUAUUAGCUUUUAAUACAUAUGCUAGGAAAGUAUUUUGUUUAAAAUUAUGGUUUGAAGUAGAUAAAAGCUGUUAUUAAAACCUGACCUGUGGCCAUGCUGCUGAAAGACGAUAUUCAAAAAUUAAUAUCUGAUAAUUGUAUUUUAACUUUACUUUGUGGUAGAAAGGGUCAACAGCUGGCUCUUAAAUGCUUGGAAUUUAAAAAAAAAAAAAAAAAGCAACAGAUUUUAAGAAGACAAACCUGACAACAAGAUUUGUGCAAUAUGCACAGAGCAGAAGGGUUUCAAGUGCUUGUUCUAAGCAGCCUCCUCAGUGCAGAUGGAUCUUUGUUUUCCUUUCCCUUUCUUGACAUAGUUAAGCCUUUGCUACGUCAUCCUACUUAAAAGAGAAGAUACCCAACUGCUGUUCUUGCAGCCGCUUUCUUUACAAGCAGUUUGUGUGAUUUACUGGCCACACUGUGUGAAGUCAUUUGCUUUUGUCCUCUGCCUGGUCCCCAGGUGGUUCAGUGACACUGUGCAUUACAAAUUAGGAGGUGGUUUGAUGCUCAUCUGACUCCCAGCCUUUGAGGUUUGCCACUUCCCAAAUAACAUAUUUCAGCAGUUGUGAAAGCUUUUAUCUGGUGCUUUAGAAUAUUCCCAGCAUAUAUUUUCUCUUUAAGAUAACUUUGUCCCCAGUACCAGCACAAUAAAAACCAUGCACUUUUCAACGUGUGUGGUAAACUCCUUGAAGGAGUGUCUAAGAAGUGCUGAAGUCUAAUAAAAGUAAGAAGCUUUUUCCAUGAGGUAUAAACAGCCUGUGAAUCUCUCAUCUCUAGGCCAUCUUUAAUACAGUAUUACUAACAGUAAAUACUCAAACCAACAUCCACUACUCGAGUGGAUUUUAAGCUACUUUAUAAAGACAGAUAUAAAGAGUAAGGAGGAGGUGAUAAUACAUACUUGAGUAUGUAAUUGUGUGUGAAUUAAAAGACAAGUUCCCCUUCCUCCCAUCUCCAAACUGUUAUUCAUCCAAGUGUCUCAUACUGUGAGCUCCUUGGAAAAGAAAAUGUCUCUGUUUUUCUUUCACCUUGCGCUGAACAGUACAUAAAUAGUUAGUGCAGUUUCUAACAGAUGUGCCAUUGGCUUUGACAAA